GUUCCUGUAGUUGAUUCACAACGGUGGUUUUUCAAGUCACUGGUCUUGGUUAGAGUCCGAGUAGGAAUU
rnacentral:tRNA from 2 species